rnacentral:lncRNA from 1 species
CCGGCUUCCAGAAGAGGUGGAGGAACACACCCCAUCGCUUCAAGGUGCUCUCCUGCUCGCCGCCCCCUCCCCUGCUAGUGGACAUGGGGGCAGGGCGGGGAGGGCGGGAGACCCCGUGUGCCCCAGACCAGGAACCCUUGCUCCGGGCCCGCACCCUCUGUGGAAAUGGUAUCCUCAGCGGUUCUUGGUAACAUCCUUACGGGGCUUCUCUUCUCAAAAGCAGGGGUGUUCAAUCUCCUGUCCUUUGGGAGUCAGUCUGUCGAUGAGAAAAGGCAAGAGCUGCUUUCUCCCAGCAGCCUGGGAUUAGCAAGGAGGGUUCUAGAAUAUCUGGUGCCAGCCCCGGGUUCUUCGAGGGACCCUGAGCAAGCAAGGCCUGGCUGUUGUCUGGGCCUCAUCUGUAAAGGACGGGGUUAGGACGGAUGGUCUAGUAUCUUCCAUGGUCUUCUGGCUUCGGGUUUAGAGUAAGUUCCAGGGUUCUCUCUCCCCGGUUAAAUCCAGCUGCUGAAUUCGCCCUCUUGCCACAUUCCUGGUUCUACUCUUCCUAUUCAUGGCGGCCCACGUUUGCAUUUUAGUCCCUCAGACCAGGGAAGUCCUUCUUGUCCACCCCGAGGGCCGCCAUCCGCCGAGUGUCCGGCGUGGCGGGAGCCGCGGGCGGGGGUUCCCUCUGCCCCUUGCUCUUGAACGCUGAGCUGCUGUCCGCCUGCCUUCAUCGAAAGGAUUAUUUAGCACCGUCUGUCUUUGUUUCUUUAAAUUUCCCCAGGCCAAUCACAGAAAGAAUCACAAGGACUUAAUUGAAGGUAUCUGGAGAGAGGUAGGUGAUAGAAUGGGCCAGCAGCCAGUCCCCUCACUUAGAGGACGGUGGAGCCCUCCCCAAAUCCAAGUCCCCAGAACCAGCCACGGGCCGACCCUUCAAGGAGGCCUUUGCGAGGAGAGUGGUUUGGGACCUGCUGUGUGUGCCCUUUUCUGGUUAAGAAUGGAGUUACUAUAUUUGAGGAGGAGCUUCACUUUGAUAUUUAAAUGGAUGUUUCCUUUUUUUUCUCCCCCCCCCAAAAACAUUUAAGUAAGAAAAAGACUCAAAGUAGUUUCCCCUGGAAGAUUGACAAGGCCAUAAGUUUGAGUAAUUGCAAUCUCAAAAUUAAUUAAUCUCUACCCCCGGCAUGGGGCUCGAACUCACAUCCUGGAGAUCAAGAGUGGCACAUUCUACCGGCUGGGGUAGAUUAAAUUCAAUCGAAAUUAAAAUCAAUCUCCAUAAUCAGUUCGGGGAUGGUGAAUAUUUGGUCUCAUGGUGCUUUGAGGCACCAGGUCAUGCUGUCCUGCCGUUCUGACCCAAACCAUUCUAGCCAGAGGAUAAACGUCCUAUCCCGGCAUCCCCUGGUUUGUAAGUAUGGAUGCUGUUGGCUGAUUUGCAGGCCGAGACCGUUAGCCUCCCCCACACGGGUACCCCCUCGGGCCUGGGCCUUGAGGCCAUCGUGGGGGGUCCCACGAUGCUGGCUUUGUGAACUCCAAUUCUGAGCGGUCUCUGAACCUGAAAUGAUUACCGUUGCCUACAGACUGUGCUGUUAGCUAUUUUAUUCCCUGUUUUGGGGACUCCGUAACAGUGUUGACUGUCCACAGAAGAAAUGAGCUCUCUCGGGAGGUUUUCACCACCCAGGUGAGAUGACCCCACGGGGGUCCCUGCAUUGGCUCAGCCCCGGGGCCUUUUCUCAGGGUGUGACUGAAGCCCCGUCCGUGGUCAGUGAGAGGGGAACACCUCACCGGUCCUCACGGGGCCCUGGCGGAGCUGGGGGGGGGGGUCAGUGCAGCGCUGGGAGUUACCAGGGGUGCAGCUCCCCACUGUCAGUGGGGGAAGUGACGACGGUCAGUCGCGGGGCCUCAGACUUUCCUGGAGACCCUUACUGCCAGAGCCACUUUGGCAGGAGGGUAAAAAGCUAGAGUAAGGAAUAGGAAAUUCGGGUACGAGGUCAGGUCAGAAAUAGGAAAUUCGGGUCAAGGAAUUCGGGUACGAGGUUGGGUACACGCAAUGGAGCCGUGUGAUAAGGGAUCCAGAGAGUUCCAAGGUCCCCUGAGCCAGCGGUCACAAAGAGGCGGCCAGCUGCUGACCUGCACACGUGGCCUUUGAGGACAGAGCGCGGGCACCUUUGAAAACCGUGACCACUGGACUUAAAUGCUCAUCUCAACCUCUUUGGGCCGCCUUGGACAGCCCUUCGUGUGGGGGUGGUGGGUGGUGAGGGGCACGUGUCUGCACCCCUUGGUCAGGGAGCCUGAAGCAGGCGGGCCAGGAAAACGACUCUGGGAGGAAGUGAGCUCAGACAGCGCCCUCCCGGGCCCCUGGUGGUGUGGACCGGCCUGUGCACGGCACUGGGAUAAGGGCUCAGUUAUGGGGCUCAGACUGGGCCCCCAGUGAUGGUGGACCCUCAGGCCUUUUGGAUGCUAUGGGGUAUCUAAUACAUUUUUUAUUUUUUAUUAAAAAAAUUUUUUUAAUGUUUAUUUUUCAGAGAAAGCGAGCGAGCAGGGGAGGGGCAAAGAGAGAGGGACACAGAAUCUGAAGCAGGUGCCAGGCUCUGAGCUGUCAGCACAGAGCCUGACACGGGCCUCGAACCCACGAACUGUGAGAUCAUGACCUGAGCUGAAGUCAGAUGCUUAACUGACUGAGCCACCCAGGCGCCCCAAUUUUUUAUUUUUUUAAUGUUUAUUUUUGAGAGUGAGUGCCAGCUGGGGAGGGGCAGAGAGAGAGGGGGACAGAGGAUUCCAAGCGGGCUCCGUGCUGUCAGCACAGACCCCAAGGCAGGGCUCAAACCUGUGAACCGAGAGAUCGUUAUCUGAGCCAAAGUCAGAUGCUUAACCGGCUGAGCCACCCAGGUGCCCCUGUUAUUUAUUUUUUUUUAAGUUUAUUUAUUUUGAGAGAGAUCGAGUAGGGAAGGGGCAGAGAGAGGGAGAGACAAAGUCCCUCAGCGCAGAGCCCGACGCGGUGCUCGAACUCACAAACUGUGAGAUCAUGACUUGGGCCAAAAUCGAGUCGGACGCUUAACUGAUGGAGCCACCCGGGUGCCCAUCUAAUGCAUUUUUAACAAUUGCAAGGCAGAUAUGCAAAAUUUGCCACCAUCAGUGAUGGAAAGAGGAACUUCUGCGCGUGAGAAGUGUGUGGUGCUUUACCCUGGUAGAAAUUGCUAAUUGGCUCAGAAAUAAAUGAUGUCGUCAGUUUUUAGAUCCUUACGACGGCCAGUCUUCGGAAGAUACCCCCAGCCAUUCUGUCUACAGUCUCAGCACCUGUUGUCCGGGCGACGUGACCUGUGUUGUGCCUUCACACGCACCGACGUCCAGGAGUCCAGGAGAGGUCCGCGUAGAAGAUCCUCUCUCCUCAAAAAUCCCAGACCACCUCCUCAA